UGUGCAAUUGCUUGUCUGCUUCUUUCAAAAUUCACACAAGGAUGAACCUCUGACCGGAAAAAUGAAACAACAGCAGAAGCUUUGACCGUAAACCCCGUAGGCAACCCCGAACUCAAACCGUAAUCAACCUCGAACCCAAAAUGAACUCAAACAAACUUCAUUCCUCGAUGCCGAUAAUUCGGCUGCUGCUCCUUUCUUUUGGCGUUAUGGUAUGUCCUUUUGUGUGUAGAUGUAGGAAUAUUUAUAUAGAUUUGAGUCUAGG
rnacentral:lncRNA from 1 species